rfam:Pteropus alecto contig23837, whole genome shotgun sequence.
UAAUCAGUUCUAAUCAGAACCACCAACAUUUUAAAUAAAUUUAUU